AGCGGGAUUGCUGCAUCAGUAGGAGUAUGUUUAAUUCUGUAAGAAACUGCCAAACUAUCUUUCAAAGUGGCUAUGUUAUUUUGCAUUUCCACUAGCAAU
rnacentral:pre_miRNA from 1 species